CGCUGGCGGCGUGCUUAACACAUGCAAGUCGAACGGGAUCCAUCGGGCUUUGCUUGGUGGUGAGAGUGGCGAACGGGUGAGUAAUGCGUGACCGACCUGCCCCAUGCUCCGGAAUAGCUCCUGGAAACGGGUGGUAAUGCCGGAUGUUCCACAUGAUCGCAUGUGAUUGUGGGAAAGAUUCUAUCGGCGUGGGAUGGGGUCGCGUCCUAUCAGCUUGUUGGUGAGGUAACGGCUCACCAAGGCUUCGACGGGUAGCCGGCCUGAGAGGGCGACCGGCCACAUUGGGACUGAGAUACGGCCCAGACUCCUACGGGAGGCAGCAGUGGGGAAUAUUGCACAAUGGGCGCAAGCCUGAUGCAGCGACGCCGCGUGAGGGAUGGAGGCCUUCGGGUUGUAAACCUCUUUUGUUUGGGAGCAAGCCUUCGGGUGAGUGUACCUUUCGAAUAAGCACCGGCUAACUACGUGCCAGCAGCCGCGG
rnacentral:rRNA from 1 species